rnacentral:rRNA from 1 species
AUUGAACGCUGGCGGCAGGCCUAACACAUGCAAGUCGAACGAGUGGCGGACGGGUGAGUAAUGUCUGGGAAACUGCCUGAUGGAGGGGGAUAACUACUGUAAACGGUAGCUAAUACCGCAUACCAUCGGAUGUGCCCAGAUGGGAUUAGCUAGUCGGUGGGGUAACGGCGCACCUAGGCGACGCUCCCUAGCUGGUCUGAGAGGAUGACCAGCCACACUGGAACUGAGACACGGUCCAGACUCCUGCGGGAGGCAGCAGUGGGGAAAAUUGCACAAUGGGCGCAAGCCUGAUGCAGCCAGGCCGCGUGUAUGAAGAAGGCCUUCGGGUUGUAAAGGACUUUCCGCGGGGAGGCGUUACCUGCAGAAGAAGCACCGGCUAACUCCGUGCCAGCAGCCGCGGUAAUUC